UUCGCAAUGCCCGAAAGGGUGACGAAGCGACGCCGCGUGGGUGAAGAAGGCCUUCGGGUUGUAAAACCCUGUCAGGAGUUAUGAAAUGUAAGUACGCUAAUAUCGUGCUUAUUUGACAAAGGCUCCAAAGGAAGCCACGGCUAACUCUGUGCCAGCAGCCGCGGUAAUACAGAGGUGGCGAGCGUUGUUCGGAAUUAUUGGGCGUAAAGAGCACGUAGGUGGGUUUGUAAGUCAGAUGUGAAAGCCUUCUGUUCAACGGAAGAAUUGCAUCUGAAACUACUAAUCUUGAGUAUAGGAGGGGAGAAUGGAACUUCUGGUGGAGCGGUGAAAUGCGUAGAUAUCAGAAGGAACGCCGGCGGCGAAAGCGAUUCUCUGGCCUAUUACUGACACUCAGUGUGCGAAAGCUAGGGGAGCAAACGGGAUUAGAUACCCCGGUAGUCCUAGCCGUAAACGAUGGGCACUAAGUAGAGGGGUUUU
rnacentral:rRNA from 1 species